CUGGAGUAGCAUGAGAGAUUUAUAACUCUCAAGAUGAUCCAAUGGAUCGAUGGAGCCAUCAUAGGGCUCCAACUGUGGUAUCUUGAACCGAGUAGGGAUCUUAUUCUUCUAUAAUAUGGUGAGAAAAUGGUGGUUGCAAGUUGAAACUAAGGCCAUCCUUCUGUGCUUGGCCUCCUUCCUCUAUGGCUUCAAGUCGGUGGUUGGUCUCUUAGAC
rnacentral:lncRNA from 1 species